rnacentral:rRNA from 1 species
UCGAGGGGUAUAGGUUUUCGGAUCUAGAGACCGGCGCACGGGUGCGUAACGCGUAUGCAAUCUACCUUUUACAGAGGGAUAGCCCAGAGAAAUUUGGAUUAAUACCUCAUAGUAUUAUGAAAUGGCAUCAUUUUAUAAUUAAAGUCACAACGGUAAAAGAUGAGCAUGCGUCCCAUUAGCUAGUUGGUAAGGUAACGGCUUACCAAGGCAACGAUGGGUAGGGGUCCUGAGAGGGAGAUCCCCCACACUGGUACUGAGACACGGACCAGACUCCUACGGGAGGCAGCAGUGAGGAAUAUUGGACAAUGGGCGCAAGCCUGAUCCAGCCAUGCCGCGUGCAGGAUGACGGUCCUAUGGAUUGUAAACUGCUUUUGUACGAGAAGAAACACUACUUCGUGAAGUAGCUUGACGGUAUCGUAAGAAUAAGGAUCGGCUAACUCCGUGCCAGCAGCCGCGGUAAUACGGAGGAUCCAAGCGUUAUCCGGAAUCAUUGGGUUUAAAGGGUCCGUAGGCGGUUUAGUAAGUCAGUGGUGAAAGCCCAUCGCUCAACGGUGGAACGGCCAUUGAUACUGCUAGACUUGAAUUAUUAGGAAGUAACUAGAAUAUGUAGUGUAGCGGUGAAAUGCUUAGAGAUUACAUGGAAUACCAAUUGCGAAGGCAGGUUACUACUAAUUGAUUGACGCUGAUGGACG